rnacentral:rRNA from 1 species
GACGUAGGUGGCGAACGUUAUCCGGAAUUAUUGGGCGUAAAGGGUGCGCAGAUGGUCUGACAAGUUAGCAGUGGCAAAUCGAGGCUCAACCUCGUGGAAACUGGUAAUACUGUCUGACUCGAGUACAGGAGAGGUUAACGGAACUCCAUGUGGAGCGGUAAAAUGUGUAGAUAUAUGGAAGAACACCAAUAACGGCGAAGGCAGUUAACUAUUCUGCUACUGACAUUGAGGCACGAAAGCGUGGGGAGCAAAACGG